rnacentral:lncRNA from 1 species
CCCGGAACCUCAAAAGAAAAGAAAAAGUGAGACGAGAGGUAAAAAUGGACAAGUGUCCGAUAGUAGAAUUAGGGGUACAAGAUACCCACCUGAGAGAAAAGAAAAAUAAGACCAUCUCAUUCUCCUCAUAAAGUUUCAAAAAGCAAGGAAGGUAUGUAUCCCCUCAAAGAGCAAAAGUAGAAUUAGACUUUCACCAUUGUUAUCACCAUCAUCACCAUACACCUUUCAUUCGCCACACAUGCACAUCUUGAUUUGACUUAAUGAUUUGUUUCUUUGGAUCCAUGGUUUGACUAUACAAUAAAUGUCUUUUAAGUAUGUAUACUUUAUCUCCCACCUAUGAGCUCCAGAUAUUAAAGCCUUAUUAGAGUAGGGUGAGAGAGGGAAGGCAAUAUCACUAUGCCUUAUACCACAAAUACCAUAUAUAUAUUGAGAGAAGGCAUAUACCAUCACUGCCUUGGUAAGGAUCCAGAAAUACCACAAAAGAGAGAUAUGCGAGAGUCAUACAAGGAAUCUCUAAGUUUUAUUUGAAAAUCUACAAAAACUCCAGAGCUAUAGCUGAUCAAGAAUAAGAGACAUGGCACUUGACUAGAUUGUUCUAUCUUUUAACUACUCAAGACAAAAGUGACGGUUACAAGUCCCAUGGUGAAAGGUAAAGUAAGUAAGUUUUAAGUCUUGAUAGUUUACUCUAAGUCAGAGAUAAGAUCUUAUUUAAAAGCAUGUGUACCGUCAAUUUUUUAAGUAUUGCAACAACUUCUGAUCCAUAGCUGAGUCUGUCCUUGCUCAGGGACGAGCAAGAGGUAAGCUUGGGGUAGUUUGUUGACGGUCCUUAAGUAUCAAAUUUAAUUAUCAAAUAAACAAAGAAAAGGAUCCAAAUGAAAUCAACAUCCAGACUUAGGGUUUUAUCUGACAGAAUUCCACGAGUUUUGGUGUUUGUCUAUUUCUGUAGGGGGUUAUCAGGAAAUACGAAAGAAAGGCCACACGUCGGGAUUACAUAGAGAUAUUAACGUGCCACGCAAUUAUCUUACAUCUAGAAGACUCCAGAAGCCACGGGAAGGAAGUAGAGGCCGAACGGGGCUAGGCACUGGGCGCUGUUGACGGUCCUUAAGUAUCAAUUUUAAUUAUCAAAUAAACAAGAGAAAGGACAAAUAUGCAAACAACACCUAGAAUUAGGGUUUGAUCUGACAGAAUUCCACGAGUUUUGUUGUUUAUCUAUUUCUGCAGGGGGUUAUCAGGAAAUAAGGAAGAAAGGCCCACAUGUCGGGAUUACAUAGAGAUAUCAACGCACCGCGCGAUUUUCUACCAUCUAGAAGACUCCAGAAGCCACGGGAAGAAGACGGAGGUCGAAAGGGGCCAGGCCCAGGGCGCUCGCCCCCUGUUGGAUGCAGUUCAGGACUCUCUUCGCUCGGGAUAUUCCACCGACCUAUUGGACCAAGGAAAACAUAGUACCACCUCGCCUAUCGACCCAAAAACGCAUAGAGGAGGAGGACUAUAUAAGGAGACCCCCCCUGGCCCCUGGAGAAGACAUGAAGAAAUUAUCAUAGAGACUGAGGGGUGCCCUCGAAGGAAAACCUCUUCUCUAAUUAAUAUUUCUUUUUAGGCUUAGCAACCAAUGUAAGGUAGAAAUAGAUCUUCUAGUUUCUACUAGAUUGAGAGAGAUAGAGUGGAGGUGUAGAUUGGAGGAAGCCCGGCCUGUCGGUGUCUACUCCAAGCUUGUACCUGUGGGAUCAAGUUCUCCUAACCCGAAGCUUGCUCCUAGGAUUCUUCAGUAUUUGGACUUCUAAAUUCUAGUAAGUUCUUCUUUUAUUGUUCUUAUGGUUUAUGAGUUUACUUUAAUCUCGUCGCGUAGAGUUUAGAGUAAUCAUUGCUGGCGUAAACGUGGUGUUUAGGCUGGGGUACUCAUAGAUAUUCCCUGACUAGCUGGACCGUGGUAGUAGUGAGGAACGUGACAAUUCUGAGUUACCUUUGCAGAUCACAUCUCGUUAGCAGAAAGGAUAGGGUUUAUAGGUGCGGGUUGAACAUCCUUUGUGGUGUCUAGAUUCUGUUAGCCUCCCCAUUAGAACAGUAGAUUAUCCUUACCAAGGUUAGAAGGAGACUACGGUUGCAGUCUUCUCUAUUUAUCACUCACAUCGAAAGACAUUCUUUGUGCCUAAAGGUUAGUAGUAAUAGACCGGUUAGUCAGAUGCACUCUUUCUCCUAGUGGUAAAAAAAUAAAUACGAUACUCUGGAUAACCUCUCAGGUGAAGUGCUCACCGAUAUCCGUGCGCUUGCGGAUCAAUUCCUUAUUGCGUUCCCAAAUAUCAACAAGCAUUUCUGGCGCCGUUGCCAGGGAGAAAGACGGUUGCUGAGAUAACCUAAGUCUUACUACUAGCUUGUAUCUAUACUUUUAUCUUUUCUUAUCUUUUAUAUUCUUUAUUUAUUUUCUUUACUCUUACCUUAUGGAAAACCAAAAUUCUAAAUCGAUCCAUGAAUCUGCAAUCCCUUUAGCAACUGACCUUUUACCAUGGGAGUCAUCACAGCCAAUCGAAACAUCCCAGUAUAAGUUAAGUUCUAGGUUGAUUGCCAUGAUUCAAAACCUAUCUUUUUCGGGAAAGGAAGGCAAAAACCCUUACCUUCAUAUUAGAGAUUUUGAGCAAACAUGUGAUUGUCUUCGCAUUGAAGGCAUUUCUGAUAAAACUUUACGUUGGAAGCUUUUUCCUUUUUCCUUAAGGGGAGAAGCUAGACAAUGGUACAGUCAGAAGGUAAGUCAACAACAAGGUGAAUGGGGAGUUUUACGAGCCAACUUUUGUCUAGAUUUCUAUUCCCUUGAUAGUAUAGCCGACCUUAGACUCGAAGUCCUAUCUUUUAAACAAAAAGAUAAUGAAACUUUGGGAAAAUUCUGGAAACGUUUUUCUGAUCUUUUAGAAUCUGGUCCAAACCUUAAUCUUGAAGACCCUGUUCUUUUAUUUCACUUUUUUCGAGGUCUUCAGAAAAAUCACAAACAAAUGCUACACACAAUGUCUAGAGGUUCUUUCUUUCGAAUCCCUACUGAUGAAGUUAGAGUGAUCCUAGAUAGAAUCCUAGAAGCUGAGAUGGAUAAUGCCCUUCAUGAUGAAACCUACGAAGCCGAAGUAGACACUCUGCCAAAUUCUUCAUCUACUUUAGCUAUCCCAAGUUCUGAGCCACAAGAGGAAGAAAUUCCACCACCGGACUUCAUGCAGGAUAUAGAAUCCGAUCUUUUUGCCGAUUUUGGAAAUAUUUCAAACUACCAUUCUAUUAACAAACCCCAAAACGGCCAGUUUAGCAUUUAUUUGCCAAGUGAAUAUCAAUUGAGAGAGCUUAUCUCAGUAAUGAGUAGCGAAUGGUUGGAGGAAUCAGAGCUUUCUUCUGAUGUGAUCCGUUUGGACACACCCUCUAUAACUAUACGCUGUGCUUAUAAUUCUGAUCGAUUUAAUGCUCUUUAUAAUCCUGUUGUGGGGAUAAAUAUCAUGUCCGAAUCUUUUGCACUUAAACUAUUUAAAAAUCUUGUCUUAACCCCCACAACAAAGGUCAUAAAGGAAUCUUCGGGACGAUUAGUCCCCAGACUUAGAAUUAUUAAUGUCCUACCUCUUACGGUAGAAGGCUCCAUGGUUCCUUUGAACUUCUAUAUCUUUGAUACAUGGGACUUCGACCUGUUAAUAGGACAACCUUUUAGAAGACUCCUUUAUGAAGGUCAUACUGGAAAGCUACACAUUUCUUUUGGAAAAACCUUUAAAUUCCCAAUAACAAUUUCACACUCCUUAAGCAAUAAGGCCGAAUCAUAUCUUUUGCCUGAUCCUAUGGAGGAGGUAAAGGCUGCAUCUCUAGAGCUUUUAGAAGAAUCAGACUUAGAAGACAAAAUUCCUUUCUUCACUGAAGAAGAUGAACCUUCUAAGCCUGAACCCUUAGAUGAGUUUGCAGAAACACCUAGACACCCCAUAGAACUUAAAACUUUACCACCCGGUCUUACAUAUGCUUUCCUAAACAAUAAUCCAGAGUUCCCUGUGAUCAUUAGCGAUAAACUCACUCAGGAUCAAACUCUGCGAUUAAUGACCAUUCUUGAGAAACAUCACUCAGUGUUCGGCUACUCACUCCAAGAUCUUACAGGAAUCAGUCCUAUGAUUUGUACCCAUUGUAUCCCAACAGAUCCUUCUGUUUCACCUUCUCGAGAACCCCAACGUAGACUUAAUAACACUAUGAGAGAGGUAGUUAAAAAGGAAGUUAUAAAGUUGCUGCAUGCAGGGAUUAUAUAUCCUGUGCCGCACAGUGAGUGGGUAAGCCCAGUACAAGUUGUACCUAAAAAGGGAGGCAUGACUGUUAUGAUGAAUGAAAAGAACGAGCUAAUUCCGCAACGCACCGUCACAGGAUGGCGGAUGUGCAUAGACUAUAGAAAACUAAACAAAGCCACGAGAAAAGAUCACUUUCCUUUACCUUUUAUAGAUGAGAUGCUAUAGCGGUUAGCAAACCAUUCGUUCUUCUGUUUCUUAGAUGGAUAUUCAGGGUAUCACCAAAUCCCGAUCCAUCCUGAUGAUCAAAGCAAAACCACUUUUACAUGCCCAUAUGGAAUUUAUGCUUACCGUAGAAUGUCUUUUGGGUUAUGUAAUGCACCAGCUUCUUUUCAAAGAUGCAUGAUGUCUAUAUUUUCUGAUAUGAUUGAAGAGAUUAUGGAAGUUUUCAUGGAUGAUUUCUCUGUUUAUGGAAAAACUAUUGAUAGUUGUCUUGAAAACUUAGACAAGGUUUUGCAAAGAUGUGAAGAAAAGCACUUAAUCCUUAAUUGGGAAAAAUGUCAUUUUAUGGUUAGGGAAGGAAUAGUGCUGGGACACCUAGUGUCUGAAAGAGGUAUUGAGGUAGACAAAGCUAAAAUUGAAGUAAUGGAACAACUACCUCCACCUGUGAACAUAAAAGGAAUUCGAAGCUUUCUUGGCCAUGCUGGUUUUUAUUGUAGAUUCAUAAAAGAUUUUUCAUUCAUUCCUAGACCACUUACUCUUUUACUAGCCAAGGAUGCUCCUUUCGAAUUUGAUGAUGCAUGUUUAACAUCUUUCAAUUUAUUAAAGAAAGCACUCAUCUCUGCACCAAUCAUUCAACCCCCUGAUUGGUCGUUGUCUUUUGAAAUUAUGUGUGAUGCUAGUGAUUAUGCUGUGGGGGGGCAGUAUUAGGACAAACUAAAAAUAAGAAGCAUCAUGCAAUUGCUUAUGCCAGUAAAACUUUGACAGGAGCUCAACUUAAUUAUGCAACCACUGAAAAAGAGCUUCUGGCUGUUGUCUUUGCCAUUGAUAAAUUUAGAUCUUAUUUAGUUGGAGCUAAAAUAAUUGUUUACAUUGAUCAUGCUGCAAUAAAAUAUUUGCUCACUAAAAAAGAUGCUAAACCUUGCCUGAUUAGAUGGAUCUUAUUACUCCUAGAAUUUGACUUAGAAAUAAAAGAUAAAAAGGGAGUAGAAAAUUCUAUUGCUGAUCACUUGUCUAGAAUGUAUUUUAAGAGUCCACAGGAAACCCCCAUCAAUGAUUCACUCCGGGACGACAUGCUCUACGGGAUUAACAGGUCUGACCCCUGGUAUGCAGAUAUUGUUAAUUUUAUGGUUUUAGGGUAUGUACCACAAGGAGCAAACAAGAAGAAGCUUAUUCAAGAAAGUCGUUCACAUAUAUGGGAUGAGCCGUACCUCUUCCGAGUAUGCUCUGAUGGCUUACUUAGGAGAUGUGUGACCACUGAGGAAGGAUGGAAGAUCAUUGACAGAUGAAAUUCAUCACCAUAUGGAGGUUACUAUGGAGCAUUCCGUACACAUUCAAAGAUCUGGCAAUGUGGAUUCUACAGGCCUACAAUGUAUGAAGACACGAAGCAAUAUAUCAGAAGAUGUAGGCCAUGUCAAAGACACGGAAACAUAAAUACAAGGGAUGCAAUGCCACUCACCAACAACCUUCAGAUUGAGCUCUUUGAUGUCUGGGGAAUAGACUAUAUGGGUCCAUUUCCUCCAUCAUAGAAGUGCGAGCACAUCAUGGUGGCGGUUGACUAUGUCUCCAAGUGGGUAGAAGCAUUACCUUGCAAGCAUGCCGACAACGUCAGUUCAAAGAGGAUGUUUGAAGAAAUUAUAUUCCCAAGAUUUGGAGUCCCCGGAGUAGUGAUUAGUGACGGAGGAGCACACUUCAUCGACAAACGCUUCAAGCAAUAUCUAUCAAAACAUGGAAUCCGUCACAACGUCGCUACCCCUUAUCAUCCGCAGACAAGUGGCCAAGCAGAGACUUCCAACAAACAAAUCAAGAAUAUUCUUCAGAAGAUAGUAAAUGAAAUGGGAAUGGCGUGGAAAGACAAGUUACCUGAUGCACUCUGGGCAUACCGGACAGCAUACAAGACCCCAAUCGGAAUGUCUCCAUACCAAUUGGUGUACGGGAAGACUUGCCAUCUACCUGUUGAACUAGAGUUCAAAGCACACUGGGCCAUAAAGAGAUGGAAUAUGGACCUAGAUGUUGCUGUAGAUUAUAGAAGAAUGCAACUAUCAGAAUUGGAAGAAUGGCGAGAGAAAGGAUAUCAAAAUUCAAAGAUAUACAAAGAAAGAGUCAAAAGGUGGCAUGACAAGAGAAUCAAGAAGAAGGAAUUCACACCCGGCGAUAAGGUAUUACUUUUUAAUUCUAGAGUGAAGCUUUUCGGGCAUGGAAAACUCCAUAGAAAAUGGGAAGGACCAUUUAAGGUAAUUAAUUCAUCAUCCCACGGAGCUAUCACACUUCAAAAUAGCGAAGGUACGUUAUUCAAGGUAAAUGGUCAACGUCUUAAAUUAUUUUUAGAACCCAAUGAAGAAUUUGAAGAAAUAGACGUAGUCCAUUUUUACCUUCCCAUGGAGAAUUAGAGUCCGACCUUUUUAGUCUGAUGAUUUUGGGUCAUAAAUAUAUUUUUCUAAAUAAUUUCGUAUCUAGAAACGUGCUCGAGAAAGCGGGCCCACAGAGGGGCCAGAGAGAGGGCGGGCGCCCAGCUCCUGUUCCCCCUCGGUCCCGAUUUUCUCUGUUAUAGAAAAUGCACUUAUGGUAAUCCGAAUAAUCCCUCGGAUGGAAAGUUUCCCACGCACAUCGACGGGAGCAACCCGAACAACCCAUAGAGGCACCUUUUUGACCCCUAUAUAAACAGACCCCUGACCUCAGUUUUCAAACACCAAGCCACCAAGUCUUCUCUCCUUCAAUUAGAGCUUGAUUAGUUCCUUGCUGCUCCAAUGGCCGAGAAGUACCACGAUGAUUGGGAAGUCGUCCCCUUCAACCUCAACAUGGAGCCUGUGGAAGACCCCGAUGCCCGUGCUCUCGUCCCGGCCAACACAGAGCGACAGCUAGAAGCCAUGUCAUUAUGCCAACACAGCUCCGCCCAAUCCUACCAUGCUCAACCAGUUCUCACCGCACCGCCACAACCCCUACUCCUCAAAGGAUCAUCAUCCAAGACGAAGACCACUAUCAAGGUGCCAACCGGCACGAGGAUCCUCCCACCUAGACCCAAUGAGAGGGUCGUUGGAGUCAAGACCAACCGGAGCGGCGAGAUCAGUAGUGUACGCUACACUACGGAGGAGGAAAGGCCUUACUUUGAAGGGAUUCGAGCAGCUAAAGUCCGUUUCAUCCCUCCAAAGGCAGCCCCGAAGCACGCUCUCAAUGCUUUUGAGACACCUCCCAAGCGUCGCAAGACUAUAGUAGACAUUGAUGAGGACGUUCACAGACUAGACAGAGUUAUCAUAGAUCUCCAGUCCUCGAUUAAUUCCCUCACUAGGCAGCUCUCUAACCACAACACCAUUAUACUAGGCCUUAGGCAGGAUCUUGCCAGUGCCAACAAGAAGAUUAAGGAAUUAGAGCGCCGCUAAGUUGUCUAGAUUAGACCUUGAGGCAAUGCAUUUUAGUCAUCUAUCUUUAAAUUCGGUUUAGGUUUACUAUUAUCAUCAGUUUACUACUAUCGUCAGUUUGCUACUAGUUAUUUAUAAUAAAUGCCUCAAGAUUAAUAAAGAAUAUUAUUAUUAUUAUUAUUAUGUCUUGUGUGUCUCUACUUUAUUUUCUGUGCAAGAAAGCACAAAACAAGUAUGGGGGAGAUCCCUCAACAUGUCAAACACACUCCGACUACACCACUCCACGAUUCAGGUACACACUCUGCACACUUUACUUUACACGCACACAACUAUCUUAAUUAUGCAGAAUAUUGUUUCCGACAUGAUAAAUUAAACGGAUUAAAAUAUUUCUAAUCAUGAUUAAUCUCAAUCUGUGAUAUUUCCUGAAAAACUUGCAAUUAUUGAAAAUCAUUUUAAAACCCUGUGUCACUUAAGUCAAUAUGGAAUAUGUGAUGGUAGAGUAUGAGUUUCUUAUUCUUGAUAUCAUUGUUACUUGGAGAAUUUAUUUCAAAAUAUUCGAAAUUAUAGCUACCAUCCUCAGUGUUUUAUAUGCCUGAUAGAACUGAAAAUAUUGAAUAUUAAUUAUAAAAGCUAUCUACUCUGUAUUGAGUUUGUUCAAAAAAUGAGUUAGACCCUUGUUGAGAGAUUUAUCAUCCUCCUAAGAUCAAGACAUUUAUUCAGAAAGAUUCACUCUUCCGAAGUAUUAUUGCAUUAGAGGCAUGGGCUAGGCAAAAAUAGAGAUAUUUCGAGGAAAUAAAAAGGAGCAAGUGCUCGACAACCUCGCAGAAAAAAUGGACAAGUGUCCGGAAGUAGAAUUAGGGGUACUUCGGUAUCCACUUAAAAAAAAGAGAGAAGGAAAAAAAUGAUAGCCCAUGGUCCCUCUAAUAAGCAAUAUGACUGCAAGAGUUGACAAAGAUUUUAAUUUCCAAAGUCUUUGAUCUAAGAGUAUGACAUUCCCCUCCUCGGAUCCCGUUUUGAUCAGGUAAUAAAUGCAAAGUGAGUAUGCUUGAGAAUUUUUUUGCAAAAUAAAACAACCUUAGUGAGAUAUAUAAAAGAUAAUGAGUGAUCAGAGAGAACCUAUGAGGAUAAAAAGGUAUGCUAACUUUCUUUCAAAAAUAUACAAAAACUCCAAGUGACAAGGACUGAGAAGAAAGGAUCUUUACUCUUAACCAUAAACAUCCCUGACUAUGGUACACAGUGAUAUUUUAACACCCUGCAAACAUAAAAGAAUGUUUUAAAUGUUUACCCUAGAUAUUGUUCUUAACCAUCCUUUUCUUGAGGACGAGUAAAAGCCUAAGUAUGGGGGUAUUUGUUGACGGUCCUUAAGUAUCAAUUUUAAUUAUCAAAUAAACAAGAGAAAGGACAAAUAUGCAAACAACACCUAGAAUUAGGGUUUGAUCUGACAGAAUUCCACGAGUUUUGUUGUUUAUCUAUUUCUGCAGGGGGUUAUCAGGAAAUAAGGAAGAAAGGCCCGCAUGUCGGGAUUACAUAGAGAUAUCAACGCACCGCGCGAUUUUCUACCAUCUAGAAGACUCCAGAAGCCACGGGAAGAAGACGGAGGCCGAAAGGGGCCACGCCCAGGGCGCCCGCCCUGGUGACCUGGGCGCCCACCCCCUGUUGGAUGCAGUUCAGGACUCUCUUCGCUCGGGAUAUUCCACCGACCUAUUGGAUCAAGGAAAACAUAGUACCACCUCGCCUAUCGACCCAAAAACGCAUAGAGGAGGAGGACUAUAUAAGGAGACCCCUCUGGCCCCUGGAGAAGACAUGAAGAAAUUAUCAUAGAGACUGAGGGGUGCCCUCGAAGGAAAAUCUCUUCUCUAAUUAAUAUUUCUUUUUAGGCUUAGCAACCAAUGUAAGGUAUAAAUAGAUCUUCUAGUUUCUACUAGAUUGAGAGAGAUAGAGUGGAGGUGUAGAUUGGAGGAAGCCCGGCCUGUCGGUGUCUACUCCAAGCUUGUGCCUGCGGGAUCAAGUUCUCCUAACCCGAAGCUUGCUCCUAGGAUUCUUCAGUAUUUCGACUUCUAAAUUCUAGUAAGUUCUUGUUUUAUUGUUCUUAUGGUUUAUGAGUUUACUUUAAUCUCUUCGCGUAGAGUUUAGAGUAAUCAUUGCUGGCGUAAACGUGGUGUUUAGGCUGGGGUACUCAUAGAUAUUCCCUGACUAGCUGGACCGUGGUAGUAGUGAGGAACGUGACAAUUCCGAGUUUCCUUUGCAGAUCACAUCUCGUUAGCAGGAAGGAUAGGGUUUAUAGGUGUGGGUUUAACAUCCUUUGUGGUGUCUAGAUUCCGUUAGCCUCCCCAUUAGAACAGUAGAUUAUCCUUACCAAGGUUAGAAGGAGACUACGGUUGCAGUCUUCUCUAUUUAUCACUCACAUCGAAAGACAUUCUUUGUGCCUAAAGGUUUGUAGUAAUAGACCGGUUAGUCAGAUGCACUCUUUCUCCUAGUGGUAAAAAAAUAAAUAUGAUACUCUUGAUAACCUCCUGGGUGAAGUGCUCACCGAUAUCCGUGCGCUUGCGGAUCAAUUCCUUAUUGCGUUCCCAAAUAUCAACAGGCGCCCGCCCUCCUGCCGAGCCCAAUCAGGACUCUCUCUCGGGAACGAUCUCCACCGACCUAAAGGAUCAAGGAUAACCGUUCAAUCAAUGUCGGUUUGAUCCAACGGCCCAUAUUCACUUGAAGGGACUAUAAAACCAGACCCCCUGGCCCUUGGAGGAGAGAGCCUCUCAACCCUAAUUCAUUAUUCCUCAAGGGAGAAGAAGCCUCUGAUCAAGAUUAGAGCCACCACAUCAAUUAGACAUCUAGAUUAGCAUAGCUACAUAGGAUUAGAACUAGAAGGAGUCAAUCUUCGAUUAGUUUCCGGAUCUGUCAUGAGGAUUCUUGGUAAUUCUCUAAUUGUGCUUCUAAUUGUUCUUAUAAUUAUCUUUGUUCUUCAAUAUUAUGAAAAUGACUUUGUUCUACUUCAAUAUAUUGCUUAUGACUUUGCUCUACUUGCUUAUAUUCAAGAUUAUAUUGUUCUUAGUUUAUCAUAGUUAUGUACUUGGCUUAGUUAGAUUGGAUCUAUAUACAUGCUUAGGAUCAUAUAGCGUUUAUCCAUCGGAUCCAUGGGUAAAUGAUAGAUAUUGUGUAGGCGUGGUGCUUAUACCGUAUUUAUCUGCGAUUGUACCCAAUAUGCCUGAUCGUGGGGUAGUUCGUGAUAGUGACAGCUUCAUUGAUUCUUAUAUAGUCCCCCUCUCGUGUAUUGGGCUGGCAGAGCAACAUUAUUACAGGGGAGUGAUUGCUAUGUUUCUCAUUUACCUUGCUAAUAUCACUAUGCAUGGGCGUAGUCUUGUCUCGCAAUGAUUGCUAAGUAUGCUUGCACUAACUAUGAUAAUGCUAGACUAUAUAGUUGAGAAUAACUUAGGGAAUAUUCAUGUAGUUCGUUCUAAUAACAUGCUAAUGACUUUCUAGAGUAUCUAAUUCAGGUGCUUAUCAUAUUUAUUAUGUGGUUAAGUUAUGAUCAGAUUAAUUAUCUUUAUCACUAUUCAUUACUUCAUAUAUCUUUUAUGUGACACUUACCCCUGUAUGAAAGAGUUAGAUAAAUGUUCUCAAUUAUAUAUGCAAUGACAGAUACUCAAUCUCAUAUUCUAUUUUGUAAUAAAUAUUGAUGAUUGCUAAUCCCUUCCCAGUGGACAAAAUAUAAAUAACGAUACCUGGAAUACUUCCUGGUUAAAAUGCUACAUCGGUAUUAAUCUGUGCGCUUGCAGAUCCCAAUCAUUAUUUAUUUAGAAGAGCAAUUGCAUAUUUCAAUACCGCGUCUCUCAUGUCAUGCUGGGGAUGACAACUUGGCUUAAGUGGUAUGAGGGAUAGGUUUGGCAUUUUUGGCACCGUUAUCAGAUUUAGAAAACUAAGUCUACUUUUGGUAAUGAUGUUAAGAAUACCCAACAGCUACCACAGACAAUGCUCGCCUGUUGCACGAAUUAGCGCAGCGCCAACCUCACCCUCUCCCAAACCUCUGAGCCCAGCAUAAUCCGGAGGAGAAACUCGUUACGUGGGUUUCACCGAAACAAGGCCACCAGUGUUUACCAAGGCAGAUGAGCCUUUGGAGGCUGACGACUGGCUUCGGACAAUGGAGCAUAAAUUCAGCCUGAUCCACUGUUUAGAGACUCAAAAGCCCCUCUUCGCAGCCGAACAGCUCUGGGAGCUGCAGGGGCCUGGUGGGAAAAUUUCCUUGCUAUCCAGAAUCCAGGACACCAGGUCACCUGGGAAGAAUUCAAGGAUGCUUUUCGCGCCCAUUAUAUUCCAGAAGGGCUUAUGGCAAUGGAAGCGGAAGAAUUCCUCGCCUUGCGACAAGGCAACAAAACUGUGAUGGAAUACGUGGCCAAAUUCAAUCACCUUUCUCAGUAUGCUUCGGAGUACGUGAAUACUGAUCUGAAGAAGAAGGCCUACUUUAUGCGCGGCCUCAAUACAAAGCUUCAAACAAUGAUGACCACAUGCCAGAAUGCCAUUUACUACGAAGCGGUUAUCAUUGCCAUCGCCUCAGAAGAGAAGAACAGAAAACAUAAAGAAGCAAAGAAGAAGGCCACUUCUUCCUCUUUCUCUAGUCGCGGCCAAAAGCGCCAGAGAAUCAUCUAUCACCCACAGGGCCACGGGUGCUUUCCGGCGCAGUCACCUUUUCGUGGUUCCUUUCCUCCUUCCCAGUAUCGACCCGUGCAACAGGUCUAUACUCGACCUACUGCCAUCACCACAGCACCACGCCAGCCGAACGCCCUAGGUGUUCAUCCUACUGCUCCGUCAAACCACAAUUAUCCUUGCUACAAUUGUGUUAAACCCGGGCAUUUCUCUAAAGAAUGCCCCUACCCUCGACAAAAUAUCCCACUUUCCAAAGACCACCUAUUGGCCAACCCCAACCGAGCCAGUUUAAAAAUGGGGCUUAGAAAGGGCAAAAUGCACAAAGGGGUAAACCUGCAAAGAAGGUGGGACAAGUUUUUCAUACAGAGGUUGAAACAAUACCGGAAGGAGAGCCAGUAAUGAUGGGUACGUUCCCUGUUGCUGAACAUCCUGCCUUAAUGCUUUUUUAUUCUAGUGUGUCUCAUACUUUCAUCAAUCGCACCUUUGUGAUAAAGUAUGACAUACCGAUCAGGGAAACUAAGGAUCAUUUCUAUAUACAGUCGCCAGGAGGACAACUGAGUUCUAAGGAAAUGGUUUAUCAAAUACCCAUCGAUUUUGGUGGGCAUAGUUUUCCCACCAGUAUGAUUGUUCUUAAAGAUCAAGAUAUUGAUGUUAUACUAGGCAUGAACUGGAUGGCACAACGAGGGAUUGUGCUAGACACCCUGCAUCGAACUAUCAAGAUGACAUUGCCCAAUGAUAAUUCUUACCUUCUAAUCCAAUUAGCCACUCCAAAACAGGCAAUUGAACAAGUUCAUGCCACUACUGUGACAGAAGUUGAAAAUAUCCUAGUAGUUCGGGAGUUUCCGGAUGUGUUUCCCGAGGACCUACCAGGUCUGCCACCAGACCGGGAUGUUCAAUUCAGCAUAGAAAUGAAACGAGGGACAACCCCAAUUUCUUGAAGAGCCUAUCGAAUGGCACCAAAAGAAAUGGCUGAAUUGAAAACCCAAUUACAAGAGUUGUUGCAGAAAGGUUUUAUUCAACCCAGUUCAUCUCCAUGGGGUUCUCCAGCCUUUUUUGUGAAAAAGAAUGAUCAAACAUUAAGGCUAUGUGUCGAUUAUCAUCCCUUAAAUGAAGUGAUGAUUAAAAACAAGUACCCACUGCCCCGCAUUGACCUGCUAUUUGAUCAGUUAGCCGGGGCUAAAGUAUUCUCAAAGAUUGAUUUGAGAUCUGGGUACCAUCAAAACAAAAUUAAGCCGGAGGAUGCUCCCAAGACGGCUUUUACAACCCGUUAUGGGCUGUAUGAAUAUCUGGUGAUGUCCUUUGGUUUAACCAAUGCACCAACUCACUUCAUGUACUUGAUGAACUCUGUCUUCAAGCCAGAGCUGGACAAAUUUAUAGUCGUCUUCAUUGAUGAUAUUUUGAUCUACUCCAAAACAAAGAAAGAACACGCUGAACAUCUGAGGAUUGUGCUGACCCGUCUCACGGAUCCUCAACUAUAUGCUAAGUUCAGCAAGUGUGAAUUCUGGCUAGACAAAGUCCAUUUCCUGGGUCAUGUAUUAUCAGCGGAGGGAGUCGCUGUAGACCCGGGUAAAGUAGAAGAUGUUUUGAAUUGGAAGCCCCCGACUACGGUGCAUGAGGUCCGUAGCUUUUCGGGUAUGGCGGGAUAUUACCGCCGCUUCAUUCCGAACUUUUCAAGGGUCGCUAAGCCAAUCACAGCCUCGCUCAAGAAUCAAACAAAAUUUGUUUGGUCGUCUGGAUGUGAGCAGGCCUUUCAGAUUCUGAAAAGGUUUCUGACUACUGCACCUGUGUUAGCCCAGCCGAAUAUUGAAAAACCCUUUGAUGUGUAUUGUGACGCAUCAGGAAUAGGGAUAGGUUGUGUGCUAAUGCAUGAGGGUCAAGUAAUUGCAUAUGCCUCUAGGCAACUUAAGACACACGAAGAGAAUUACCCGACCCAUGAUCUUGAGCUAGCCGUCAUAGUGCAUGAUUUGAAGAUCUGGCGCCACUAUGUGUUGGGGAACACUUGUCAUCUAUACACAGAUCAUAAGAGCUUGAAAUAUAUUUUUACUCAAGCUGAACUUAAUAUGCGCCAGCGAAGGUGGCUAGAAUUGAUCAAAGAUUACGAUCUUGAGGUGCAUUAUCACCCUGGCAAGGCGAAUGUAGUAGCUGAUGCCCUCAGUCGUAAGGCUCACUGUAAUUGCUUAACAGUGACGCCUAAAGAUAUAUCUUUGUGCCAAGAGCUGGAGAACUUGGGAAUAGAAAUGACUUCUCAAGGAAGCCUUGCCAAUCUAAAGAUUGAUUUCAAUCUCGAAGCUCAAAAUCAUAGCGGCACAAAAAGAAGACAAAGGCAUGAAAUACAUCAAAGAGAAAAUUUCAAACAGAGCACCCACAGAAUUUAAGGUGGAUGAUGCAGGAGUAAUCUGGUUCAAAAACCGGUUAGUAGUUCCAAAGGUACCUGAGCUACGUCAGCAAAUCCUGGAUGAAGCCCAUACCACAAAAUAUUCUAUUCAUCCAGGGAGCAAUAAAAUGUAUUAGGAUCUAAAGCAGAGGUUUUGGUGGACGAAAAUGAAAAUAGAAAUAGCCCGCUAUGUGGCCCAAUGUGACACUUGCCGAAAGGUCAAAGCUAUUCAUCUCAAAUCUGCUGGAGAGUUGCAACCCUUGCCUAUUCCAGCAUGGAAAUGGGAUGAUAUUAGCAUGGAUUUCAUACUGGGAUUGCCCAAGAUGGCAAAAGGCUUUGAUUCUAUUUGGGUCUUUGUGGAUCGUCUUACCAAAACGGCACACUUCUUACCUGUGAAGAUAUUAUAUCUUGCUUCCACCUAUGCCAAAAUUUAUUUUGAUCGUAUACUGAGUCUGCAUAGGGUGCCAAAGACAAUAGUGUCAGAUAGAGGCACACAAUUUGUCUCCUAGUUUUGGAAAUGCUUACAUGAAUCUUUGGGCACCAAGCAUUUAUACAAUACAGCCUACCAACCUCAAACAGGUGGGCAAACUGAAAGGGUGAAUCAAACACUAGAAGAUCUAUUGAGAUCAUGUGCCCUAAAUUUUCCAGACAAGUGGGAUGACUGCCUGCCUCUAGCAGGGUUUUCAUACAACAAUAACUACCAACAAAGUAUUAAGAUGGCUCCAUUCGAGGCACUAUAUGGCCGUCGAUGUCGGACUCCACUACACUCGUCUGAACCCGGUGAAAGAUGGUUCUUUGGGGUUGACUUAGUGAAGGAAACUAAAGACAAAGUUAGACAAAUUCAAAAUAACUUGAAGGUUGCUCAAUCCCGACAAAAGAGCUAUGCUGAUAGAAGACAUCGACCCUUAAGAUUUGCCAAGGGUGACCACGUGUAUCUAAAGGUAUCCCUAAUGAAAGGAGUGAAUCGUUUCGGGGUUAAAGGCAAGUUAGCACCUCGCUACAUUGGUCUGUUUCCAAUCAUUGACCGGUGUGGACAGGUAGCUUACCGCCUUAAAUUGCCCAAACGAUUAUCCGGGGUACACAAUGUGUUUCAUGUAUCUCAAUUGAAAAAGUGUCUUCGAGUACCAGACUAGGUUCAAGAUAUUGAAGAUGUGGAACUUGAACCGGAUCUGACUUAUGCAGAAUAUCCUAUCAGAGUAUUGGACCAAAAAGAUAGAGUUACCCGGAGAACAACUACCAAAUGGUACAAGGUACAAUGGAGUCAACACAAUGAGGAGGAAGCCACAUGGGAAUCAGAAGACUAUCUAAUGGAGAAUUUUCCUAAGUUUCAUGCUUCUCUUCAACAUAACAUCCAAUAAAAAGAAGUGUACUCUAGAAGGGAAAAAGGGUAGCCAAAGCCAUGUACAUUUGUUGGACCCUGUUGUGUGACCGUCGUCGAGGUUGACGACGAGGAGGAGUAAGCAUGACCCAUGGGCAGGGUCUGUAAAUUUCUAAUCUUUGUACUAUGGUUUAAGUUGCUCCACUGGACCUGGCUUGUAAUAACACUUUAUCUAAGUCCUACUUUGAAGAACUACUUUUAUAAAUUAAGUUAAUUAUUACUUCCGCUGUUUUGCUCUGAAAUGCUAUUUUGGUUAAAUAUCGUUUGUGAUACUGCAAUGUCUUCGCAACGAAUGAUCCUGGUGUUAAGGUGGCCACUUGCUAUCUUGAAAGGGUGAAAAGAAGAAGUUCUCGUUAAUUGACCAUCACUGGUGGUCAGGACGAGUUUGGUUGUUACGCCACAGGUAGCAGUGGGAUGGGCGUCCUGGGAUGCUCAUCGGGCUUCUAGAGUAGAAGGAUCCCCGACAUCACCGUUAGAGGUCCUUGGGACAAUGACAGGUGUUGCUGGGCCCAACUACCUAGGAGGUUCUGCCACAAUUAUACCUCCCAAUAGAGAAAGGAACUGUCACAACAUGGCUCACACGCACCGCACCACAGUCAUUCACCCACUACAUAUUGUAUGGAUUAGGACGAUGCCUUUGUUUUAGCUCCAUUCUAUCAACCAAUUCUUGGCUAGCAAUAUUGUUGCAGUUGCCAUUGUCAACAAUAAUUCUACACAACUUUUCUUUGAUCAUGCCUCGAGUGUGGAAAAGAUUGUGUCGCUGCUCAUUCUCUUCCUUUGCAGCAGUAACACUAAGCACACGAAGAGAAAUAAAGCAGUUGUUAUCACCUUCAUCGGGUUGGAUCUCAUUUUGAUUGCUUUCAUAAUCCUCAUCAUAUAUUGGACCUUCUUCCUCAUGAUCACUUUCAGAUUCCCAUUCACCAUCGCAUUCACAAUCAUGGUCCUCCUACUGGGACAUUGUGCAGCAAUAUGUCCACGACCAUGGCACUUGUGGAGGAAGUAGUAGCUGAAGGAGCAACAGUUGGGCUGCUACACUUGUAGCAGGUCACUGCUGAUAUGCAUGAGAUGAUGCUGUAGGCACCACCAUCUUUGAAGGAGCAUUAGAUGAAGAGGGCCUAGCUGCAGCACCUUCGGACCGUCCCCCACUGAAUUAAGUGCUAGACUGCUGCUUGCGCCAUGAGGCUGCAAUAGAAUGACUUGCAUAAGAUUUUCCACGUGUCUCUUGCUGAAUUUUUCUUUCAGUACGCAUAGCUUGAUCAACAAGGUCUUGCAAAGUAUGGUAUGGAAACAUCUCAACAAAACCAACAAUUUCCUCAUUGAGACCACCUAAAAAUCUUGCCAUUUUUUACUCUGGAUCCUCUCUAAUUCCAGAUCGCACUAACAGCAGCUCCAUCUCCUUAUAAUACUCAUCAACCGAUCUUUUUCCUUGCUUCAAUCUUUGUAGCCUAUUGUGAAGGUCAUGCUGAUAGCUUGAUGGUACAAAUCGCCUUCUCAUCACUUGCUUCAUCUCUUCCCAUGUGUUGAUAUGUUCAUAGCCCAACACAAGUUGAUUCUCCUGUAUCUGAUUCCGCCAAGUCAGAGCAUAACCAGAGAACUCCACUGAAGCAAGAUUAACACACUGUUGACGGUCCUUAAUGCUCACAUUUAACCAUCAACUAAUCAUAGAAAAGGAUCCAAAUACAACCAACACCUAGACUUAGGGUUUUAUCUGACAGAAUUCCACGAGUUUUGGUGUUUGUCUAUUUCUGCAGGGGGUUAUCAGGAAAUACGGAAGAAAGGCCCACAUGUCGGGUUUACAGAGAGAUAUUAACGUGUCGUGCAAUUUUCUAUCAUCUAGAAGACUCCAGAAGCCACGGGAACGAACGGGAAGGCAAUCGGGCUCGGAGGCAGGGCGCCCGCCCAACUCUCCUGGGCGCCCGCCCAGCUACAGUGCCCAAUCAGGACACGUUUCGCGGAUUAUGCUCCACCGACCUAAAGGAUCAAGAAAAACCGUGCGAUUAAUGUCGGUUUGAUCCGACGGCCUAGAUUCACUUGAAGGGACUAUAAAACCAGACCCCCUGGCCCCUGGAGAUCAUACCUCUUCUACAGAAUCAAAGUUAGGGUUUCAAUUCUUCAUCCAAGUAGAGAGGAUCACUCUAGUUCUUCUAGUUCUACCUCUAGUUCAUCUAGAUCUAGUUCUAGUUCACCUAGUUCUAGUUCUAGUUCCUCUAGUUCUAGUUCUAGUUAGUUCUAGUUGUAAUCUAGAAAAUAGGGAGAGAGAAGAGGAGAGCGGAGGAGGAGCCGGAUCUGUCGGAUCUUCCUCAACAUUGUACUUUUGCAGCAACUGGUUCGUUCUUCAUCGUUCUCCAGGUUCUUCAAUUCAUAAUUCCUGAGUUCUUUAAUUACUUUUAUUUACAUUCAAGUUAUUUAUUGGAUUCCCGCUUGCAUCAAGUGCUCUAAUCUUUGAAACAUUAGAGUAGUAAUUAAUAGAUUAGACGUGGUGUUUAGUCUUCCAAUUACGUGGAAUUGCACCCAAUCCUGCGGAUUGUUGUGGUAGCCUUAGGGUAGUGACAGCCCUAACGGUCGACGUAUUCCACCUCGUUCGAAUCGGUGUUUGUAGGACCGUAGUCGGAGCUUCCUAGCCCCCUUCUCAUCUCUUUCUGUGGUUAGUGUUCUGAUGUCCCGAUAUAAAUAAUCUUUGAAGUAAUUCUUGAUUCUUAGAUCAACUAGAGAACUCUCAGGAAACUUCCUCUCUUCCCACCAAAAAUAAUUAUAUAGUUAUCCUUGGGCGAUCUUGGAUCUUAAUUAGUACACUCACGUUCUCUGUGGAAAAUCGAUACUCUAGAAUACUCCCGGGUGAAAGCUACAUCGGUAUCCGUGCGCUUGUGGAUUUUUCUGUUUGCGUUUAAAAUACCCAACAAGCUUUCUGGCGCCGUUGCCGGGGAAUGGUAGUUGUGCUAGUUUCGAACCAAGUUGUCCGUGUAUCCUUUUUCUUUUCCUUUUUUUACCACACUCACCUUAUCACUUUCACCAUACCACAUGGAUUUCACUCUAAGCAUUAAUGAGCAUGGAAUUUAUUUCAUAGCCACUUCAUUUACUCCAUGCUCAUAUGCAACAUCUUCACAAUCCAUUGUUCUCUCCAACAUCACCACAUUCGAGAUCUCCAACCCCCUCUUCCUUUCUAUUCAUAAAAACUUUAAAAGGGCGGUUGUCGAUGCAUAUGUCUAUAUUAAAUAUUGCAGAUCUCGUUGAGUUGAUCUUGAUAUAGGUCAGCGUUGGAGGGCAAACCACUUCGCCGACAUAAAUUGAUGGUUUCCCAAGGACAAACUUAGUGUCCUAAUCAGAUCGUAACAUAAGCUUUUAAUUAUUUGCAACAUUACCUUGUGUAUUGAGCAUAUAAGGAUAAUUGUAAAAAAAUUCCUUCGGGUAUUCUUGUCACUAACCUUUCUAGGAUUGGAGCAAGAAGAUCGGAUGAAUGACAAGCACAAGGUAUGUACAACCAAUCAUCAUACAACAUUGAAUUAAAUUCAUCCAAACUAGAAUUUUGCAAAAUUCAAGCUUGGGGGAGUACUUUAUAUAAAAAUAUCAUUUGCCAUGUUGCUAUGUUGGUUGUCCCUACCUUUGAGACAUGCUCAAUUUGUUAAAUAGUAAUCACACUACUUCAUCUCCACUUGAGUAGAUCUCUAUAAAAGCCAUCACGCUACCUUUGUUUAUCCUAGUAAGUGUUAGUUUGGAAGUACUGUACAUACUUCUAUUGGUUUUUAAAUUAAGCAUGGUGCUUAGGUUAAAUAGCCUUCCUUAAUCUAAUUAGACAUGGAGUCUAGUUUGGUUAUUGAACUAAAAACUGCUUGUGUAGACAUUGGUAUAUUUUGUUGGACUAACCCCUGCAGGAAAACUUUCAAUAUCGACCUGGGAAGUCCUGAGAUAAACUCACAUUGGAGACAAAGAGAGACACACAUGAAGUUUAACAAUUUAUACAAGGAAGGCAUAGCUCACAAGGGAUGAUCCAUGGAGGUGCCACAAACACGAUGCACAACUGUUAAGAGAGGAAAGCUUCCACAAGGUGAUACUGUACCAUCACUCUUCAAGUAAGGUAACAUCUUAAGGUACUUGACUAUCACUUCUAUAAGCUUCUCCUUGGUUCUGGCGUUCACAUGAAUAAAAGAGACAAACAUGUAUGAUUUACCACUCUAGAUUAACCAACCCAAUCGAUUCAACAUGUUUAGCCCUUCCACCUUUGUGAUCCCACACUUCUAUUCAUAUGAGCUAAAGUGUUGCACAUUCAAUCUUUGGAAGAUAUAAACAAAACAUAUGUAUAGAUAGAUUAUCUUUCCAUUAGGUUGAGCGAUCUGAUCUGACAAAUGUUUUAAAUGCUACACUCAUGAUCUUAUUAUCCAUCAACUUUGUCUUGCUCACUAUGCUUAAGGUUAGAGAAGAACAAAUACACUUUUGUUUCUGUUGGUGUUUUCCACCAACAGGGCCCAUGCACUUGAUCUCUGCCUUGUCUCUAUGAGCAGGUACACUUCGAGCAAAAUAUGACGGACUUUUACAACUCCCAGACUCCACCAAGUGAAGAACCUAGAUCUACGAGCACAAACACACUGGAGAUACUGGACACUCAGGCAAUCACUGCCCUGAGAUGCUUGAGGACGUAACUAAUGGAGUAACCCCGUUGUGGAAGUAAUUACUGACCUUCUGCUGGUCAAGAGAGACAACCCAGGACGCCCCGUCAUCCCGAUCUCCAUCGGCAUGGUGGAGUUCCUAGAAGCACUCUGCGACUUUGGCUCCAGCGUCAACAUUAUGCCCAAGGUACUCUAUGAAAAAAUUCUUUACACAUCCUUUACUAGAAACAACCGUGUGCUUGCAGCCUGCAGAUCAGACACUAAGUUUCCCAAAGGGAAUAUUGAAGAACCUCUACGUCCGAGUUGGUACCUUGUGCGCCCUAGCAGACUUCGUGAUGAUAGAGACUGGUACUGUUGAGAGGGCACCCAUCAUCCUAGGGAGGCCAUUCCUGAACACCUCGGGAGCUAUCAUCUACGCUAGUGCUGCCAAGAUCAGUUUCUACAUCAAGGGGAGGAAGGAGACGUUUUCCUUCAAGAACAAGACUACACAAAUCUCAGAGCAAUCCAGACAUGAACCAAGGAAGAGGACCAACAGGAGGAACAGAAACAAGCAAGUGUGGACCAAGACAGCUAAGAUGGUUACUGUAGUUCAAGGAGGACAAGAUCGUCGACUGAAGUAACCAUUCCUGACCAAAAAGGAUGACCCAGUCACCUAUUAGCUCCUAUUCAGAACCAUGCCCCUAGAACCGACAUACAUUCAGCUCCAGAUAGCAGAUCAGACAUUUCGAAAGGUUGAAGGUUAUAGACAUGGGAGAAGACGAGUAUGAUCCACCCAUCAUCCUUGGGAGACCGUUCCUCAGCACCGUCAAAGCAAUCAUCUACAUUGGAAUGGAGAAGUCCACAUGCAUUUCCCCUCUGAGAAGGUAUGCCACUGUUUUACUGACCCUAACUAUAUAGUUGAAGACUCUAAGCAGGUCAGGACAAGAAGAAGACGACGCAACCGUAACCAGAGGAGGAAAAUCAUAAAGGACGGAUGGGCAGAGUACGAAGGAGAAGCGCACCAAGGCAGGUGUGGAAAAACAAGAUAGUUAUACAUGAAGAGUACGCGCCGCCGGAACCACCGACUACGCCAUCCAGCGAAUUCCAGGAUGAUUGAGAAAACGGAGAAUCCUGUUCGGAGGACUUAAAGACACCGAACGCCUUGCCAAGAGGUAAACUUGGUAGUUAUCUUUUUCCUUUCAACUAUUUAAAAUAGUUUGCUUAGUUAAUCAGGUUCAUAUCAUCUUGAAAAGAAAAUAAAAAUGUUAAAAAUAGUAAGCCCCAUGUGAGUAUGCUCAUGGCAUAAACCCCAUAAGUACAUCCACUGUGGUGGCAUAAAAAAUGAAAUAAAUAUAUUCCUGUCCUAUAAAAAUAAAAUUAUAAAAAUAAAAUUAUGAUCCUACUAAUGAGUAACAUUUAUUGAGGAGGCUCAACAUGAUAAAGGCUAGAUAUUUAUGCUAACACUUAACCAGUUCCACAAAGCUUUGUUGUCUAUUUGAGCUCCACAGAAUUCAAGGAUCAAAGAAGACUAGUAGACGGAGGAUAUCCUAAUCGCUGUCAGGGUGCUGCCGACAUUCAAAUACACCUCCGCCACUUGCUAGCUACAUCAGAAGGGAUUACGUCAAAAUCCAGCUUGGGGGAGAGCACCCCCAUUUAUCCAGCUAAGUAUUCUACUCACGUUUAUAUUUUACUUAAAUAAUAAAAAGAUGCAUAAUCAUAAAAACCCAAAUAAAGAUUUUUUGCUUAUAUAUAUCUUUUCUUAGUUUGAUAAAUAAAUAAAUAAAUAAAGUUUGCUAUGAACCCUCAUGAUAAGCUUUCACAUGGAAAUGAUGAAUAGUUGCUCUGCCAUGACUAGUUCUAAAAAUUAAAAUCUCUCUUAAGUUUAGGCAUGACUGUUAUUAAUUAAGAUUUGCUCUAAACCUGAACUUGUGGGGAGAGUACUUGAUCUAAAGUCUAAGUCGUUAACGGAUACGAUAUGGGAAGGUUGAGCUGUUGUUUAUCUGUUCCUAGUGAUGCUAGAAUUCUGGAGAAUUUUAUCUUUGAAAAUCAUUAAAAUGUUGCAUGAUGAGUUCCUGUAUGAUGAGAGUUAAAUUCCUACCACAGCCGUAUAUACAUGCUAGCUAGACUUUGAGCCACACAUUUACUUUUUACUGCUUAUGAGCAUUGAGUGUGGUCAAGCUGUGUAGACCCUUAGGAGCCUGUCAUGUGGUUAAGUCAAGAUUCACUUGCACGUUCACUCAUACAUGCUGCUUCUACUCCAGAAGUACCAUCCACAUAUAUCCAUCCAUUUCCAUCUCCAGAACCACCCAAAAAUAUUCUACUCCUAAUCCGGGAGAGAAUAGCCAAAAACAUUCUCCUAUUUCUGUUUUUUCCUGUGAAAAAAAAUGCUCAAGUUAUCUUGGUUACUACCACUUGCUAUAUUAUUUCAGGAGAUGAGUGCUCUAAAAAAAAGAAAGAAAAAAGAAAGAAUGCGAGGAAAUAAAAAGGGGCAAGUGCCCGGAACCUUGAAGAAAAGAAAAAGUGAGACGAGAGGUAAAAAUGGACAAGUGUCCGACAGUAGAAUUAGGGGUACAAGAUACCCACCUGAGAGGAAAGAAAAAAAUACAGAGCAUCUCAUUCUCCCUAAAAGUUUCAAAAGAGCAAGAAAGGUAUGUAUCCUCUCAAAAGAGCAAAAGUAGAAUUAGACUUUCACCAUUGUUAUCACUAUCAUCACCAUACACCAUUCAUUCGCCACACAUGCACAUCUUGAUUUGACUUAUUGACUUGUUCUUCUGGAUCCAUGGUUUGACUAUGCAAUAGAUGUCUUGUAAGUAUGUAUUAGCUGUCUCCCACCUAUGAGCUCCAGAUAUCAAAACCUUAUUAGAGUAGGGUGAGAGAGAAGGAAAUGUCACUAUGCCUCAUACCAAAAAUACCACAUACUUUGAGAGAAGGCAUACACCAUUACUGCCUUGGUAAGGAUCCAGAAAUACCAUAAAAGAGAGACUAGAAAGAGUCAUACAAGGAAUCUCUGAGUUUUAUUUGAAAAUCUGCAAAAACUCCAGAGCUAUAGUUAAUCGAAGAACAAGAGACAUGGUGGUUGACUUGACCGUUCUAUCUUUUAACUGCUCAAGACACAAGUGAUGGUUAUAAACCCCAUGGUGAAAGGUAAAAUGAGUAAGUUUAAAUAUUAACAGUUUACCCUAACCCAGAGAUGAGAUCUUGUUUGAAUGCAUGUAUAUCUUUAAGGCAUGAAACCACUGCAGAAACUUUUGAGUUUAUCUUUGCUCAGGGACGAGCAAAGGUUAAGCUUGGGGGAGCUUGUUGACGGUCCUUAAUGCUCACAUUUAACCAUCAACUAAUCAUAGAAAAGGAUCCAAAUACAACCAACACCUAGACUUAGGGUUUUAUCUGACAGAAUUCCACGAGUUUUGGUGUUUGUCUAUUUCUGCAGGGGGUUAUCAGGAAAUACGGAAGAAAGGCCCACACGUCGGGUUUACAGAGAGAUAUUAACGUGUCGCGCAAUUUUCUAUCAUC